CAGCUGCUUCAUGACCCAAAAAACUGUCAGUCUUUCCCUGGAAUAAAUUGUGGAAUGUUCCAUUUUUUCAGGCAGGGACGCGUAAGGUUCUGUAUGCAAUGAAAAAGAGCGUAAAGUUCUGAAAUUUCUGUUAGUAAGACUGAACUUAAUUAAAAAAGACAUUUAGUGAUCAAGCCAAGCAUGUAUUAAAUAUAAUUUGAACAACUGAAUGCGUCAACGGGAAUAAUGUCUACAUUUCCCCCCGGCUCCGGAAGCCCUCUUUCAGGCAGACCCAUAGUAGAAUCAAUUCACACAGUGGGGAGCUUGAAACCGUCCACUCGUGCUUCUCAGCUUAGUUUGGAAAAAUAAGUCUUGAACACAGUUUGGAUUUCAAAGUUGUACGAUGUGGUCUGCGAGAGAAGUUGCGACGUUCUUGCAGCAAUUCAGUCAUUCGCUAUUUCACACGACCUCCACAUUAACACCGUUUAGAGAUGGUCUCGUGCAUGAUGAAACGAGUUUGCGUUUAUUAGACCGAGCCGACGCUGUUCUUCAAACACGUAUCGAGAUAACCAUCUUUCUACGUGCUUAUGCAGCUGGUAUUUCGCAGAGUUAAGUUAUGGUUGACAUUACGUGACAUCGGUCAUCCUCGGCUGGACGGGCGUCUGUAUUUACAUUAAAGUCCAUGUUUAGAAUGUUAUUAAAAUACUUGAAUGAAAUGAAAUGAAAUAUACAUAAAAUAUGCUCUUAUCUGGUAUUGUGAUUAAUAUGCUAAAAUAUGUUGUGGACCACUUACAUAAAACCUCAGCCACGGCAACUCCAGUUGAUUUUAUCCCAAAGUCAGGGGCCAAGGACAUACAGACAAAUCCUGUUACGUGUCGUAUAAACUCGAGUUUUAUCAUUUUAAGACUAGCUUUAUAUCCUAUAUAUUAUCUGUUGCUUAGAUUUGGUGUGCGAAUUAUUCACAGGACGUUCAGUGAGCAACUUUUUAAAGGAACAUAUAUUUAAAUAUCUGUUAUGUGUACAUUUAUAUUCAAAAGUGUGAAAUACAGUAUUUUGACGAUGCACGCUCAGAUACAGAUACAGAUCGAGCAGUUGUUGCUAUGGUUACCCUUUACGCAGGCUACGCGUUUUCUGUGCGAGCGGAUACAUUGUAAAUGUUUGUGAUUACUGAACCGUUGCAAGGAUUUCACAUCUCUGAAGUGUAAAGAAAUAUUACAUUUUACACUUAUGAUUGACAUCUGUCAAGAUCCACUGCCCGCUGAUCACACAUCUCACAUCCUGCCACACGGUGAGGAUUUGCCAGCCAGCCGCCCAAGGACUGGAAUCUGUUUGCCCAGUAUGCCAGUGUUGACAUGACACCUCAUGAUUUGAUACGGAUAAAGCCAGGAACCUGCAGAAAUAAAGUGGAGCCCCUGUGUUUGUGGAUUAAACAGUUAUCACUAGUUACAUGUAGAACCAGAUCACAGAGCAACUCAUGAUGGCGGAGCUCGUCCAUGAUCUGCAUGGCUCUAAAGGGAUGACUUUCAACUGUGUAAUCCAAGUAACCAUGACCCCUCAUGGAGGGCACCACGAUGGCAGAG